rnacentral:rRNA from 1 species
GUGCCAGCCGCCGCGGUAAUACGGGGGGUGCAAGCGUUGUUCGGAUUUAUUGGGCGUAAAGCGCGUGUAGGCGGUUUGGUAAGUCUGAUGUGAAAGCCCUGGGCUCAACCCGGGAAGUGCAUUGGAUACUGUCAGACUUGAAUACGGGAGAGGGCAGUGGAAUUCCUAGUGUAGGAGUGAAAUCCGUAGAUAUUAGGAGGAACACCGGUGGCGAAGGCGGCUGCCUGGACCGAUAUUGACGCUGAGACGCGAAAGCGUGGGUAGCAAACAGGAUUAGAUACCCUUGUAGUCC